rnacentral:rRNA from 1 species
UACGAAGGGGGCUAGCGUUGCUCGGAAUGACUGGGCGUAAAGGGCGUGUAGGCGGCUUGAAUAGUCGGAUGUGAAAUUCCCGGGCUCAACCUGGGGGCUGCAUCCGAGACGUUUGGGCUGGAGUGCGGAAGAGGGUCGUGGAAUUCCCAGUGUAGAGGUGAAAUUCGUAGAUAUUGGGAAGAACACCGGUGGCGAAGGCGGCGACCUGGUCCGUGACUGACGCUGAGGCGCGAAAGCGUGGGGAGCAAACAGG